GGACAUGUAAAUUAUGUGCCAGGAAAUGAAUUCUUUAUAAUGUCCCUUGCCAGAAGCUAAAUUGUAGCAAAUUUUGUGAUCCUGUAUAUCCCAGUAUGUGUAAGGCCAUGGACAAAACCUGUACUGGUUCCCAUGAAGAAUUCUGUGGGUAAAAGCACUGGAUACUUCCACAUGCAAGGUGGAUAUGAGAGAGAUAACAUAAACAAGAGCAAAAUUUAAACAGAGAUUGAAGGAGGUAUCAGGCUUUUGAAAUUACCUGGAUUGCUGAAGACUAAUCUCUACAAAGAGCAGCAGUCAAGACUUUAAUACUUAGGAAAUUUUGUGCAGAAGAGAUGCAGGAUCUAUAUCUUUCAGCUUUUUUUCAUAUGGCUGACUACACUCAAAGACAGAGGGACGGAUGAGAGGACAGACAGCUGGGACUGAGCUUACUAGACACUGCUAACACAGCAAAAUCCUACCAACAGCAAUCACCAAAACUUUAGCGAUCCUCAUUUUUUUGUCAGUCCUUCACGCAAGAAACUACACUGCGGUUAGACCAUCUACAACAUGCGCUGCGUAUGUGUGAAAGGGACAAAUGGAAAACACAGGGGGGCCUCAGGAGCUCCAAAAAUGCCAAUAUUAGAUGAGAGCAUAGCAACACAUCUGUGGGGACAGCAGCUCUUCUGGGUUAUUCUUUACGGAGUGAGGAGUGACAGCCCUUGUCCUUCACAGUCAUUUGGCUUUUCUCUCGUAUUCUCUCUGCUGCUUUUAGUUUAUCCAGGGGCUAUGCCUCCUAUUCUCCUGUCGACUGCUUUCAUCAUCUGUCAGUUCUACCAUAUGGUCCUAAACCUUGUCAGGGAAGAUCCACCUUCAGGUUGAAACAAACCAAACAUAUGGAAUACUGUUUCGGAGGUGGGGGUUAAAACCAUCUUUAGAUGAUUAGUAACCCUGGUUACUAUUUUGAGUUCUUAGAGAAAGCAAUUUGCAAUGAUCAAUAAACUGCCCAGCACGCUUUGGGAAAUGGAAAA